AGCUUUGUGCAAUGGCAAUAUUGUAACUAAUGAGGUUUAUCUGAGGCAUGAUUAUUGCUAAUUGAAAAACAUGCCUUUUAGCCCAAGAACAAGAAACAUUUGCUGUGACCUUUUCUAUUUAAUAUUGUGCUGGAGAUUUUAAUUG